CCUGGACUAGGAAGAUACCCUCCUUUCAAGAGAGAGGUUGUAGCUAUUGCUACUACUGCUCUGGAGGGAUUCAAGAAUGAAGCAAAAAAGAUGGUUGUUGCACUAGUGGAUAUGGAGCGGGCAUUUGUGCCUCCCCAGCAUUUCAUCCGUUUGGUGCAAAGGAGGAUGGAAAGACAGCGCCGAGAGGAGGAACUUAAGAACCGAUCUUCUAAAAAAGGACAUGAAGCUGAGCAAGCAAUAC
rnacentral:misc_RNA from 1 species